UACGAAGGUGGCAAGCGUUACUCGGAAUUACUAGGCGUAAAGGGCAGGUAGGUGGUUUGGUAAGUCUGUUGUGUAAGCUCCCGGCUUAACUGGGAGAGGUCAACAGAAACUACCAGACUUGAGUGUGGGAGAGGGUGCUGGAAUUCCCGGUGUAGCGGUGAAAUGCGCAGAGAUCGGGAGGAACACCAAUGGCGAAAGCAGGUACCUGGACCACUACUGACACUGAGCUGCGAAAGCUAGGGGAGCAAACAGG
rnacentral:rRNA from 1 species